GUAGUCUACGUCGCGGAAGGAGUCCCAAGUCGGUGAACGACACCUUGUCGGGACAGUGGACGGAAGGAGGAGCCAUAGGUUCUCUAUUAAACAGAAGGCAAGAGGUAAAAAAGUGAAGAGGUAAGGAAAAAAGAGUGAAGAUUGGUUAAAGGAGAGCAAAAAACGCUGAGGAGCAAGAGGAGAAGGAAAAAAGCUGCCAUUGGAGCUGCCGAGGACAGAAAGAACUGGGGAGGAGUUAUCCCCUUCGGGCUCAGGCAACAUCCUCAAGCUGGAGCUGGCUAGAAAUGAACAUUCUAGUCAUCAGCCUUUCCCGAGAUAUUUACAUCGAUCAAUCAAUUCCAACGCAAUAAUUUCCAAAGGAGCUUUCCCAUGAGAACCAUCCCUAAAACACUAGCAUGCAGAAAACACUGUAGAAGAGACCCUCGUUCAACAGCCCGUGCAUAACACAGGAAGAACACCAUGGCAAGAAGAUUGGCCGGCCCCAACCAUGAGCCAGAGCAGGAGCAGUUGCGGGGAGCUUGCUUCCUCAUUGCCUGCCAGAACGAACACUCUGCUCCAGCUGCCAAUUGCCAUGAGACUGCACGGAAAAGCACCACUUUGGGUGCUGCCCAAAAGUUUGGGUUAGGUGGGCUCGCGAAGAAGGAAGUUCCACAGAUACACAGAUCCAGCACAUAGAAGGUCCUACUCAGAGAUAUAAAUGAACCUCACCUCCGGUGGUAGUAGUACUCAAACAAUUCC